AAGUCGUAACAAGGUUUCCGUAGGUGAACUGCGGAAGGAUCUUACUGAGUCUUCUGAUCCGCAAGGAUCUGUCGCUCUACCCCCUGAUAUUUGCUUGGUGGGGUGACUCUGUAGUGGGGGCAAUCCCCCUGCGAGAAGCCGAGACCGCCCAUCUUUUCGGAGGUCGUGGCGCAAGCCUGGCCCCGGUGUGGAAAACUUAUGCGAUACUUUGAAGUCUGAGUGGGUACCAAUAGAAGCAAAACUUUCAACAACGGAUCUCUUGGCUCUG
rnacentral:misc_RNA from 1 species